rnacentral:misc_RNA from 1 species
CUGAGUACUACACUCUCUACCCUUCGUGAACUAUUAUACCUGUUGCUUCGGCGGCGCCCGCGAGGGUGCCCGCCGGUCUCAUCAGAAUCUCUGUUUUCGAACCCGACGAUACUUCUGAGUGUUCUUAGCGAACUGUCA